CCGUGGUUUCAAGUCUCUGGAGUCCCAUUUUUUUCUCUUCCAUGGAGUUUGUUUGCUGCAGUUUGAGGAGCCGAGGCAUAUGAUAAAUACCAGGUGUCCUUAGAAGAAGAGGAGAUUGGGCCCCAGACACACAUGCACAGAAGAAAGACCAUGUGAAGACAGAGGGAGAAGUCAGAGAUCUACAAACCAAGGAAACAUCCUCAGAAUGAAACCAACCUUGCCAAUCCCUGAUCCUAGACCUCCAGCCUCCACAACGGCCUUUGGACUCAGAUGGAAUUAUACCACGGGGUUUCCUGGAUCUCCAGCAUGCAGAUGGUAGAUUGUGGAACUUCUCAGCCUCCAAAAUCGAGUGAGCCAAUUCCCAUCAUAAAUCCCCUCUCCUAUGUCUAUAUAUGUCCUAUUGCUUCUCCUUCUCUGGAGAAUGCUGACUAAUACAGACAUAAUACAGCA
rnacentral:lncRNA from 1 species